GACGUAGGGCGCGAGCGUUGUCCGGAUUUAUUGGGCGUAAAGAGCUCGUAGGCGGCUUGUUGCGUCGACUGUGAAAGCCCGCGGCUUAACCGCGUGGUCUGCAGUCGAUACGGGCAGGCUAGAGUUCGGUAGGGGAGACUGGAAUUCCUGGUGUAGCGGUGAAAUGCGCAGAUAUCAGGAGGAACACCGGUGGCGAAGGCGGGUCUCUGGGCCGAUACUGACGCUGAGGAGCGAAAGCGUGGGGAGCAAACAGG
rnacentral:rRNA from 1 species